AACUUCUUGCAAUGUAUCACGUUGCUCUCGCAUCGAUUAAGAACGCAGCGAAAUGCGAUACGUAAUGUGAAUUGCAGAAUUCAGUGAAUCAUCGAAUCUUUGAACGCAUAUUGCGCUCUCUGGUAUUCCGGAGAGCAUGCUUGUUUGAGUAUCAGUAAACACCUCAAAUCCCUCUACUUGUUGGAGGAAUUUGGACUUGAGCAAUCCCAACUUUUCGAAAGAGAAGGCGGGUUGCUUGAAAUGCAUGUGCAGCUAGAUUCUUUCUUCUGAGCUAUAAGCAUACUUAUUUAAUCCCGUCAAACGGAUUAUUACUAUUGCUGCUGCUAACAUAAAGGUUGAAGAGUCGCUAUGGCUGACUGAUGCAGGAUUUAACAUGUCGCGCAAGCGAUCUGUAAACUCGAUCUCAAAUCAAGCAAGACUACCCGCUGAACUUAAGCAUAUCAAUAAGCGGAGGCU
rnacentral:misc_RNA from 1 species